AAGGGCACCACAAGAACGCGUGGAGCAUGUGGCUUAAUUUGACUCAACGCGGGAAAUCUUACCGGGUCCGGACACACUGAGGAUUGACAGGCGUUUGUGGUUGUUUGAAGUAUUUUUCAGUUCGCUGUUUGAUGCUUCUGCUUCCACUAUAAAUAUGCUAGUCCUUUCAUGAUUGUGUGAUAGGUGGUGCAUGGCCGUUCUUAGUUCGUGGAGUGAUCUGUCUGCUUAAUUGCGUUUCACAAAGAACUUUCUAACUUUUGCCUGUUGCGCGGCAUUCGUGCUUUGUCGCGGUGUCUGUGCACGGCAGAGAAAAAGUUCUGAAGGCAACGAACGUGACCGCAACCUCUUGUUGCCUCCUUCUUUUAACAAAGACAUGAGAGCUGUUUUACUUCUCUUCUUUUGUAAGAGUUGUAUCAGUUUCUCUGCAUGGAGUGCUAACUAGAGGGACCGCUGACAACUUUUAAAACAGAGGAAGGUUGCGGCAAUAACAGGUCUGUGAUGCCCUUAGAUGUUCCGGGCUGCACACGUACUACAAUGAUUAUUGCAGUGAGCAUCUAAUUACAAAAAGCGCGAGUUUGUGUUGGUAUUCUUUGGUUAUCUUUCGAGAUGGCUUUGUUUACUUACAUGGCUUGGCUACUAACCUGCUUCGAAAGUAAGCAGGUAAUCAAUUCGAAGUAAUGAUUUCCUUUUCGCACAUACUUAUAUCUCUUGCUUGCUGGCUACCUGCACCUUGUGUGUAUUGGUUUGUCUCAGCCUUGAGAUAUGUGCUCCAUUAAUUCGUGGUGGGGACAGACCAUUGUUAAUUGUUGGUCUCGGUCUCAACUAGGAAUGCCUUGUACGGGUCUUUGGCUCAACAAACCACCCGGAAUAUGUCCCUGCCCUUUGUACACACCGCCCGUCGCUCUUACCGAUGGACUUCUCUAUGAGUUUGGAGGACUGGCUUGUGCUUGCUUGCAAGACAGCUAUGGAAAUCUAAACGAAUAGUGUGGUCUAAAGGAAAGAGAAGUCGAACAAGGCA
rnacentral:rRNA from 1 species